CUAGUUUAUUCAUUUAUACAGAAAAUAAAAAUGAUAAUUAUUCAAUCAGAAAACAAUUAUAUUACUCAAAUAAGGUACGGCAGGAAACUCAGGCGAGGAGAGGACCCCUCGUAUAUGCAGUGGUGACAGGACAGUAAGGUUCUCGGGUCUGCAAUGCAGAGGCUGCCAAACUUUCCUGUGCCCUCAGAAGAGGGAGAGGUGGCACCCGGCAGGGACCCUCACUUGUUUGCCUCCGCCUUGGUCUCCACCCUCUGAGGAACAAAGACACAGUUACAGCCCUCAGACCCUGCUUGGCUUCGCUUUCCCCCAGCACUGGGUAACUCUGGAAAGUUGGGCUCAGACAGCCGCUGGCACUGGGAGGGGUCCCAUCAGGGCCCCUCCCUGGUAUGAUCCAGUGUCCUCCCCGUGCUGCUGCCCCCUGGAGGAUCACACACACACACACACACACACACACACCCGCAGGGCCUCCCAGAUAGCUGUGCUCCAACAAAAGCAGACUGGCCUGAAGGAGCCAGGCUCCACCCGGGUCAUCUGGCUAAGGUCAAGUGGCCCAUGAGCAGCUGUUUAACUUAUGAGCCCCUCUCUUCCUCUGUAACACGGGACUCAAUGUCAGCUGUUGUCUCAAGGAAAAAGUACGUAAGUAUGUUUUAAAUAUACAAAAAGCCCCUUCAAACUAGCAAAAGACCUAUAGACCAGGAGAAAAGGAGGUAGGUAGAAAAGCUAAUCAGAGAGGAAGCAAAAAUGGCCAAAACCAUUAAAAGAUGCUCGCUAAUAAAGCAAGGAAUUAAAAAUACAAUCAUCUAACACUACUUCUCAUCAGAGAUAUUAAUAAGAUUUGGAAGAUCAGAAAAAGUAUGGAAAGAAAGAUAUCCUCAUACACGUUGACUGGGAAGGUGGGUUACUAGGGAUGUGGUAGUAUCCAACAAAGUAUCCAUACUCAGUUAAAUGGGAAAUACAUGUCUUUUGACCUAGUGAAAUCUCUUCUCCUACUCUCCUAGAGACAUGCUUUUAUAUAUCCAAGAGUCACAUGUGUGAAAAUGUUCAACGCAGCACUGUUUAAACGUCCACGAGCUGAGGACCACAGGAUGGAUUACUCUGGAUCAGAAGCUGCCAUUACAUGGAUUUGUACUGGCGUGGAAUAUUAUCAAGCUGGAAGAGUGCCUGACACACUGGAGCCUCGGAGUUGAAAAUAUGCGUUGAAUAAAAAGAAAACACGUAUGUCACCUCUGCGGUCUUCUUGUAGCCCCUCACCCACUCUAUCUCAUCAUAUUCUCAGAGACCAGCCAAGCAGGCAUUCUUGUUGUCAGGGUUAGGAUCAAAGCUCAAGGCACCCAUGACCUACCCACAGUCACAACCCCACGCUGUGGAGCUGACACCCAUUCUGCCUGCAAGGAGGCAAACCACGAAGGAGACCUCACAUUUUUAGGCAGCUGGAAGGAAGGUCUGUCAGUAACGGCUUGCUGACCUGGACAGGAUUGCCCUUCCCCAGCCAAGGCCUCCACUCAGUGACACUUGCCCUUCCGGACCACUGCUCGGGCCCACUGGGCAUCCAACAACAGGUCUGAAAGGAGGUCAUUCAACAACAGGUUGCCAUGGAAACCCUAGCCCCCCUCCUUGCUCCUGGAACAAAAUGGAGCAGGCAGGGAAAUAGGAACGUUUGUUAAAAUGCCUGCUAUAAGCCAGGCAUGGUGAAUAAGAAAAAAAUUCAUCUGCGUCUUCCUUUACAAAUCACCGAAAUAAAAAGAAACUGUUUUGUUAAGCCAAGUCCAGAGCAGGCCUGCAUGGCUGCUUAAUGUAGGGCAGGCAUAACUGCAGAGGAAGUUCCGUGUGGCAUCCUCCAGGCAUCUCUCCUACGGCCCCUGGUGGCCCUGACAGCUGUGUAGUCAUCGGCCUCUGACACACGUGCUACCUGUGCAUGCCUGGAAUGCACACUCCAGACACACCAGGAAAAAGGACGGGCUGAUUCAGAAAACACCAACGCCGUCUGGAACAAGCCAGAGGACAGCCAAUGUGUCCGGAGACGGCAGGUGUCCCAGACGGGCAGAACGCUCUUCCCCUUUCCUCCCCACUCCCACGCUGUUAGACAGUGGGGGAAAUGCUGCUGUGUGGGACAUUGUUACCUUGGAACUUUCAUCUUAAUUACAGAAGCUCUUAGUAACCGUUGCUUAGUAACAAAUGCAUUUGAAAUAGAUUUGUUGACUUAUUAUGAGAUGCUCUGAAAAGACCUGAGAGUGAAAUUCACUGAUGGAAAAAAAUAGCAAGGGCCUGAUCAAGUAAACACAUUUUUUAGCUACCAAAGUACUUGCAAAGUUAGGGUGCUAACACAUCACAGAGCUAUCACUGAGUCUGACAGUAUUUGACAGUAUUUUCUGCUUUAUGACUGAUCUCUUAGGUUCGGGACCACUUCAGGUACAGGUAACCGACCGGAAAGCUAUCAAAGCUGGGUGACAUGGGUCUUAAGAGUUGUCACAGACACAAGAUGCUACACAGGAAAAAGCAGGGGCUGCUGGAUCUCCUCAGCUCCCUAACACCCUUCCUGGCAGGGCUUUGAAUGCUUCUUUCCUCAAGAUUUCAGAAAUGCUUGAGGCUUCUGACAAGUUGUCAAGUCAGAAGGCAAAAGCAGGCAAAGCUUCACCUCAAUCUUUCCAAGAAUAUUUCUUCAGCGCCUGUUAAUAAAAUCUGUGAUCAAAGAGGCAAUGGAAAUGCAUUUUAGGAUGACAUCCUCCGUGCGUCUUUACCAAGGCGAAACCCCAAGCCCACACUCCUGUCGCAGGGCCAGGACCUGCUCCUGUCUCCUGACAAGCCGGAUCACCCUUUCCAUCUCCCAGACUGGGGUCCUUCGCUUAUUGUCUCAGAGGAAGAAGUCCCCUUGGCAGAGCAAGUCCCUCUGCUCCCUGAGUCCUUCUGGCCUUUCUCUCAUGCUGCUUCCCCUCCAAUCUCUUCCUGCUUUUCUCUGACCAUCUUAACUUCCUGUCUGAAGACACAUGGCUGCCUAAUGUUUCUUCCUGUAUGCUUUCGGAUCCAGCCAUCUCCUUCCACUCUUCAAAAGGUACCUAGGGUCCCUCCCUGCUCUUCUUGCCCUGAAGUCCCUUCUGCUUCAAGUUUACCCAGGUCCAAGCCUGUGGCCUUCUGGAAGGAGGCAAGAGAACAACCGCUCUGUGGAUCCCUGUCUACCUGCUCUACUAGAACUUGGGCUGUGCUUGGUCGGCUUCGUAGAUACUGUGGCUGCCUAGCCCUCAGUGCAUCUGAACUUGAAGCUUCAUGCAUCGGUCUUCACGCUGGCUUUGCUGUGGCCACCCAACAUCAACCUAUUCAGGAAUUCCUUCAUUUAUCAAGCAUCAACAUGCCAGGGUUUUCCUAGGUGCCCGGGUCACAGAGAAAAUGAACAGGAGGUGUAACGGCAACCGAACUCUUCACGCUGGCUGCAGAACAAGGUUCCACUGUUGCAAUCCAUUCCUUGACCAAGGGAAAUCAGUGGCCCUGCUCAGAAAGGCUACGGGCAGCUGUCAAAUACGAAGCAAAUCAUGUUCUGAAAGACAAUGGUGAUGGCCAUCUGUGAAACGGAGCAAGACAAUCGGGGGACAAGGGGAAGGUUGCUGGCCACACAGAAGACAGCCUGAGCCAGGGGAAGGGCAGAGGAAUGGAUACGUGGGGAUGGGGACAGCGAGGAGGGAGGUGAGGACGACGACAGAGAUGCAGGAGGCGCAGGAGCCGCAGGAGCCGGAGUGGACUGUGGGAGAGAGGCCAGGACAGAAGGGUGCUGAUCAGCCAACCAAUCAGACAUCAGGACGCGUGCGCUAAGGGCCCGCCCUCCCACGUGACCUGUGCACUUACUGUCCCUGCCCUGUGCAAUCUCAGGCACACAUGCUCUUGAUCCAUUAAUGGAUAAUGAAGUGCUAUUUAAAGGCCACAUGCAAUACCAGCAGGCAACCCACUCGCUCCCCCUCUCCACCCCAGAUCCGCAGCCCCUGGGCCACGCACAGCCAUCAUACCCUCCAAGCUCUGGCUUGGCUUUGCCCUCGCCCUUCGAUGGGUAAGGACUGCCCGAGGAGCUGAUCAAGGAUUUCUAAGUGGCUUUUCAGACCCUGAGCCAGGGUAGAGGUAGAACAGCCCACCAGUCCGGUUAGUGAUCAAUGCGCCUCAGGAAUGCACAUAUCAAAAGAGUUAUCUGCCAGCUCCUCCUAGCAUUCAGUGGAAAUGAGUCAACAGAGGUGCCGGCAGGGUGAACAGAAGCUAACUGCAAAGCCACUCCUCCAGGACCCCCAGGAAAAUGCAAAGCUCAUUCUAAAUGAAAUGAAUGUGGGGCUCCAGAGCUGCGGUCAGUAGUAGCCAUUCAGACCUGGUCCUUUCAGAAGCGGCUUCUUUCAUAGUUGUGUGGGCCCCAUCUAGGUAUCGCCAGAGAGGCCUGCAGAACCAUCUGAUUCAGUAGCAGGACUGUGCCGAAUUCCAACAGCAAA